UUUUAAUUGAAAAGGUCAAAUUUCGAUCCCCAGUCGAUAGGAAAUUUAGUUCCCUUCAAUUUGAUAUACAUACUUUAUAUAUGCCUUGUUUAGUUUUCACAAACAUCUAAUU